CCAUAAAGUUUCGUGUGGGUUGUCGUGUCAGGUGUUUUGACAGAUUGCUUGCGUCGUUUAAUGGAGUGAGAGAUUUGAGCAAGCACUCAUGUGCAUCAACCAGACAGAGCACAACAGAGAACAACAACACUGAAAUAGCACAAUUAUUUUGAACAAAAUAUUCAUUUCAACCAAAUGUUCGUUGGAUGUCACAUUUAGAUUUAAUGAUGAGAGUAAUGAGACAAGUGUGAAUCUGCAACAAAACCACCACCACCAAAUUGAUUUUAAUUCAAAUUAUAUAAAUAAAUGUAUUAAAAAAUCUGAAGUCAUAAAAAUCCACAUGAACUAUUUUUCAAAAGUUUGUAGUCAGUUAAAAAAAAAGAAAAAAAAAAAGAAAAAAAAGAAAAAAGGUAUGUGUACCAAGACUGCAUUUAUUUGAUCAAAAAUACAGUAAAAAUAGUCAUUUUAAAUUGUGAAAUAUUACAAUGUUACCGUUUUCUAUUUGAAUAUAUGUAUUUUUUAAAAAUUAGUGUUGGCAAAGCUGAAUUUUCAGCAUCAUUAGUACCGUCUUCAGUGUCACAUGAUCCUUCAGAAAUCAUUCUAAUUAUAUAAAUCAAUGAUACUUUUUUCUGCCAAUAUUUUUUGAUGAAUAGAAAGUUCAAAAGAACAGCAUUGAUUUGAAAUGUAAAUCUUUUGUAACAAUAUUAAUGUCUUUACUGUUGUUUUUAAGCAAUUUAAUAAUAAUUUAAUGCAGGCUUGCUGAAGAGCAGUAUUAAAAAGUAUUCAAAACUAUUAUAAAUAUAUACACACACAUGUAAAUUUAUUGAAAAUCUGAACACAAACAAUAUUCCUGUCUCGUCCCCCAUGAUAUAUCAUUUUACAUACCGAUUGGAGGAAAAUAUUACACAAGAUGUGCAAUAACCUACAAGCAUACAAUAAAAAAAAUUCUUCAUCCAAUCAAUCAAAAUACUGCCUUUUUUGAUGAUGAUGAAACAGUAAUUAGACACAUUAUUGGAUCAUUAAAAAAAAAGCUGUUAAUUGCCUCCCUGGUCGUGGGAACAUAGAAACAGUCACUAAUGGUUCAAAACUGAAAGCAUAAGUGGAAUAGGAAAAUGGUAGACAUGAAUGCGUGGCGUAAAAAGUGUUCAUUUGAAAUGAUGGGAAAAGGCCAGCUUGUAAAAGUUAUGGCUGAAUUCACACCUCCCUUAGCAACAAGCCCGGUUCCCACACAUCCAUUAUUCAUAGAUUCCAGUCUGAUGCCUCUCCAAACGUUUAACGAUAUAAUCUGAGGUAAUCUAACGAAAUAUAAACUCUGGAGGGGAGAUAAAUUUCUCAGUUGUUGGCAAGCUUUUGUAAAUGCUUAGCACCUUUAAUUUAGGCCCAGUCAAGCGCGCUAAAGUAAGAUGAAGAAUCAUUUCUUUACACGUAUAUGCUUAAAGCCAGCGUGCCGGAGGACGUUCAGGAGGAUAUUGCUCUUCAUCCAUUUUGUCACAGGAUUGUGAAGCAUCCAUUUAAAUAGCUAAUGUGCGAGCCUAGCCAGCACAAAUCACAGGACGCUUCAGAGACAGAAUCAGCACAGGAGACGGAGGAUACGAGCUGCCAGGGGCAUAAACAUCCUAUUUGCUUUUAUAAGGUAAUUAGAAACCACUCUCUGAAGGUAUGAGACCACGAGCAAUCUGAUUAUAUAACAACGAUACCUGGAUGCUUUGUUUUAAAAGGACGUCGACCUUGAGAAAUGAGCAUCCAGAUGAAAUGUAAUGGAUCUCAUUUGGACCGCGCUCCUUUACGAGAUGCCUUGCAUAUUUACUAUGUAAUGGAUCUCAUUUGGACGGCACCACUUUACGAGAUGGCAUACUUAUUUACAGGCAGGCAGUUCUACCCACACAAGCACAAAAUACGUAAUAUGGAAAUAAUUGGGUUGUACAACAGAAAAGAAAUGUUUUACAAUGUUUUCAUGUGCGUCUGAUCAGUCUAGACUUUGUGAAAAUGUUUCAAAAGGAGCAAGCUUUUUAAAGAAGGUAGAUAUCUUCCUUUUAUAACAUGAUUGUCAUUUAUUUUUUGCAGACGUCCUCAUGAAAAUAAAGGAAAGUACACUACAGACGUUUCCAAACACCACACAAUUUCUGUGCAUAGUUGAUACUAAUGAAAAUGCAAAGCAUGCUUGCACAAAAAAACAAAACAAAACAACUGAGUGACUGUGCAGACAUCUCAUAAAAUGAAGCUGAAUACUAUCAUCUUUUGAAACCCAAAAGCAACAUUUGCUACUUUUGAAACAUUCAAGCAAAUUUUAGGUAGGUCAGAAACAUAUGAUAAACCGGUAUGCGGAAAGAAAGAGGAAGUGGCUUGCAAUUUGCAACAAUCCUUUAAAAUCCCCCUGUGGAAAUAUCAAGCUUUUAACAAUUAUAUAUAUGUCUAUGUGGUGUUUUUAAUGUAAGAAAACUGCAGUGAACCAAAGACAGUCUCAAAAAUGCGGUUUGAAAUCACUGGAGUUUCUGACGUCACAAACUUCCUUGUAACCAAUCAUGUCAACAUGUGAUCGUCAACUAGUGGGUGGAGGCGGGGCUAUUUUGCAUAUUCAUAGAUGAGGCAAGGGUGUAGAGUUAUAUUCAAGCUAUUUUAAAGGGUUAGUUCACCCAAAAAUGAAAAUUCUGUCAUUACCAAUCAGUGGUUCGGAGCAUGAAAGUCACGUGAUUUCAUAAACGAGGCUUCGUUACGACAUAAGUGUUUUGAAAUUUCAAUGGUUCACAUGACUUUGGCAGUUUGAUACACGUUCCAAACCACUGAUUUGAAACAAAAGAUUUGUAAAGCUUCAUGAAGCAGUUUUGAUAUCGCUCAUCACUAGAUAUUGUUGAAUAAAGUCAUUAUUUUGUUUUUUUGGCACACAAAAAGUAUUCUCAUCACUUCAUGACAGUAGUCACAUGAACUGUUUUAAAUAUAACUUUAGCUGGAAAUGCAGGACUCACUGAGCCAUCGGAUUUUAUGAAAAAUAUCUUAAUUUGUGUUCCGAAGAUGAAUGAAGGUCUUACGGGUGUGGAACGAUAUGAGGGUUUAUCCGAAGUCAACCGGAUUCGGGCCGUAUCCAGGUGAGAUCGAGGACCUGCGCCUUGACACGACCACAAUGCAGCCCUGAAAUAUCAGCAGAGAUUGAGUCAACUAGAUCAUCCAUUGUGAAGGCCUCAUCGACAUGACAGCCAGUGGCACAGCUCCUCAACAAACCGUCCAUACCGGCGUGAUGAAUACGAUCCUCAACUGGAUGGAACUGGAAUAAAUACUUUGAAUGUUGCGAUCCUAUCGGACUUAUGAUAGCUACCUGAAUCGUAACAAAGCACUGUUCACCAGAGGAGAACUGGCCCCCCGACUAAGCCUGGUUUCUCCCAAGGUUUUUUUCUCCAUUUUAACACCUGUUUGCCACCUGAUGUCACCUGUUGGAGUUCGGGUUCCUUGCCGCUGUCGCCUUUGGCUUGCUUAGUUGGAGACACUUGACAUUUGAUAUUCAACAGUGCUUUGAUCUGCCUGCUGGGCAGCCAAAAUUAUAUACCAGUUAUCACUGUAAAGCUGCUUUGACACAAUCUGCGUUGUAAAAAGCGCUAUAUAAAUAAAGGUGACUUGACUUGAGUAUCGAUUUCUCGAUUUUAAUCUAUUUUCAUUUUUACCAACCGAUAUUGAUUCUUAAAUCUUAAGAAUCGAUUAGUCUAGUCAGUUUUCAGUUGAUGAAUGAACAGAACAUGUAGCGCACCUCCCAUCCAAUAAAUCGCAAUAAUCUUUGUGCUUUAUUACUUUUGAUAUGAAGCUAAGUCUAAGAUUAUAAGAUUAUAAGAUCUUAUAAGAUUCAAAAAAUAUAUACCGUUUUGGCGCUGUUUAAUGUGGCAGAUCGCUUUAGCGCCUCAGUUAAAGAGAAGCGGCAGCACGGAGCGCAUGUGAAAAUCCUCUCCUCCACUUUAAUACCAGUUGCAGCGUGAAAUAAACGUGACUAAACAUCUGAAGGUAUGUUAAAAUAUACAGUACAACUUACCGAAAUCCGUAUCAUGUCUCGUGUAAUAGCUCAAUCAGUGUUUCAACCUCGGAAAGACGUCAAUAAAACAGCUUGUAAACAAUGUCACGUAACAUCACAUUUACCUCAGAAAAACAUUCAGUGACCAUAAACUCAUUAGUCGGCUAGAAAAGUGAACUCUAGAGAGCAGCAUUCUGAUAAAUAUAGCUAUGCACUGUUAUUCAUUAUAAUGUUCUUCAAUAUUUAAUGCAUGUUUGAAUAAAUCAGUUAUGACAGCCAUGACUUAAAUUUAAAAAAAACAAAAAAACAAAAACUAAUUGGAGUAGAAAUAUGAUUAUGUAAUUCUAAACUUUAUUUAUCAUAAAAAAACAUGGAGUCUAAUUUAAGUGUUUGUAUCUAAAUAAGUUAAUUUUAACCUUCAAUAUUAUAGUAAAGUAGUACCAACUGACUCCCAUGUGUAGUUUACAGCAUUAGUUGAGAGAUUUUUUUCCUCUAGAAAAUUUGCCAUGUACUGUAACCGAUAUACUACAUCCAAAAUAAUCGAUAUCAAAUCGAAAUCGUAAUCGAAUCGAAAGCGAAUCGAAUCCUAUAACCUAUUUGAAACAUCUAAAACACUGAAAAUCCAAAGGGGAAUUUUAUCAUGUUUUCUUUUUUUAGUAUGAGUUUCAAAUAUUCAUGACUUAACAUAACUCUCCCAUAAACCUUGCUAAGUCAGGGUCAAAAGGGGUCUGUAGAUGCCAGUCUGUAGGCUAUACAUAAAUAUGACUUAACUUCAAAUAACUUAAAAUGCAGUAUAAACCAGAUGUUGCAUCAUACAACCAAUCCCAUCUGACAUGCACAGAUGCCAGGUGCACAGCGAGCUGUUUGGCACAUACAAAAAUGAAUUAUUUAUAGAAAUGAAUUAUCUAUGAAAGCAUCUAAUGAGAAAGUAAGGUUAAGAGUAAGAUUUUCAUCCAUCUAAAUAUAGAUUUUCAUUUACAAAAAAAAAAAAAAAAAUACAUAUGGUCAUAGUUGUGUUCAUAUAGGCUACAAUUUACUGUGAAAUAUUGUUGGUUGUUUUAAAUAAAUUAAAAAUUACUAUUUGCGCAGAUACUGUCUACAUAUCAAACAGUCUUGCAAUGCCCUGUGAAGUUCAGUGGUGAAUGCAAGUUAAAAAGACAUGUACUUACAGUGUAAUUACCUAAGAAAAUAAUGGGUUAUUAUUAGGUAACUACAGGGGUUAAGGGUAGAUUUAGGUGUAGGCUCAGGGUUAGUACCCUGUUAUUGUAAUUACUGUAAUAAGUACAUUGUAUGUGUGGGGAACAGGACUGUAAAAUAAAGUGCUACAAAAAGAUCUGAAUAUUUUAAUAUUUAAAAUAUGACCACUUAUGUCAUUAUACACUCUUCAAUAUAUAAAACAAACAAAAAACAAGAAAAAAACAAAUAAAAUUAAUUGAUUGACAAUUAAAUCAAAAUUUGAUAAUAAUGACUGCCCUAGUCACUGUUACGAGUGAAGCAACGACCUGAGCAUGCAGUACAUCAAUGCAGAUGUCUCGGUUUGGCGUCUGUUGCGGCACUAAAAGAGCAACA